GCCAGCUGCAGCCAUACAGAGCCGUGCAUUCCUACAACAGCAUGCUCAAAGCCACCAUCUCAUGCACAAACGCUUCUGGUUAUUUUUAGCAGUUAUUUCUCUGGGAUAUUCUGAUUAGUACCUCCCUGCAGCUUCAGGAAAGACUCCUUAACAGCUUGAGCUGUAAUAAAUAAAUUCCAGUUCAUCACAGGAGCAUUUUGAUUCAAUUGCACACUACAGUUACAGUCAAUGCACUCAAGUAAGACAGAAGAAUUACCUCAACAGCUCGCAGGACAUCUCUGAACACAGAUCGCUGCUUUCUUUUAUCUACUUUGGCUCUGUGCUUAUUUCCAUCAGUAGCUAAAGCUCGCAGUUUCUCUGUUAGAAGUUCCAUAUCUUCAUAAAAGAAAUCCUGUUUCACACACACACACACACACACACACACACACACAAAGCAAAAA